GUGCUCCUUAGAGCGGCACAUAUGCUGAAAUGGGAAUGAGAGAGAUCAGCAUGGCCCCUGCCCAAAGAGGACACACAAAUGUGCUAAGUGCCCCUUAUUUAA